GGGUGAUAAAGUGAGACUCUGUCUCAAAAAAAAAAAGAAAAAAUUUACACUUUAGGUCUCAUCCCCUGGGUCAGAUCCAGUGGGUCAGAGGUGGGGCCUGGAAAUCUGCAUGAGUCCCUGGGACUCUGAGGUGUCCUGGGGAAAUAGGCAUCCUGGGGAAACAGUGGUCCUGAGGAAAUGCUGCAUUAAACACUUCUGGUCAAGCUCUUUCUUCCCAAUUUGCGAUUUGUGCUGGAGGGAGCUCCAGGCCUCCUUUGUAAGGACAGGACGGUUAGGCUUGGCAUACGCAUAAUCCCAACCGUGCAGGGGGACCUGGCCCCACUCUAUAGCCCGGGCUGACUCAGAGAGCAGACGGGGGUCCUGCCUCCCUCCUCCACCCACCCAGCCCUACUUUCUGCUCCAUAUCCGCUUCCAGGAGCCCCGUAUCCAAAUCCAACACCAACUCGGAGCUCUGGGAGCUGGAAAGGAAAGGAAGUGUUGGGUUUUCUUUUUUCCCCUCCCCUGAAAUUUUCUGGACGUCAGUAUGGACAUUCAGAGGCAAGUCUGUCUACAUAAUCCAUCCUGACUUUUUCUGGAGGUAGAAAGGAGAGAGAAAACAGGGUUGAGUUUGGGGAGCAAGAUGCCAGCUGUGGGCACGGGGGGUCCCAGGGAUCCUGUGGCCCACGUCCUGGUCAGUGGGGAGCUUAAUGAGGUUCCCUGCUGGAGACGCCCCGACUGAGGCUGUGGCUGAGGCUGAGGCUGAGGCUGUGGCUGAGGCAGGUUCUCGCUGAUGGGACUUGUGAGGAGGUGUCAUCCGGAUGCCCCCGGAUGGCAGAAGAGCUGGGACUAAGCCAGCAGGGAUUGCUGUUUGGCCAAGAGCCUUCUAGAGGCUGCGGGGCCUUGGCCGGCAUGCAGGGAUAAGCCAGGGCCACAGGAUUCUAGCUCCCUUUUCUCACUGCUGCCUCCGUUGGCACAGGACCUGAGGGAUUAGGGUGGCAGGGCCGUUCCUGAGACUGGCGCCCCUAAUUGAGCUACAGCGUGCUUUUUCCAGCUUUUUCCACUCUCCAUUUCAAGUCUCUGGUUAGAUCAGGAGAAAGUCUCGCUGUGGCGCCAUCUUUAAACCACUGGAAAACUUGCUAAUCUCCCUUCCAUAGAGAAAGCCGACCUCCGCUUUCCGCAGGCAACGCGAGACAGAUCACUUGUAAUAAUGGCUUGUUCUUUGUUCUUUUCAUUUUGACACUUAGCCUCUAUUUAUGGCGAGUGGUGCUGGUUCUCCACUUACAAUAGCAAUAUAAAGUUUCCUUUCAAAAUAAUUUUUUGAAGGAGUCUAUUCAAAGCAAAAUAAGUAAAUAAGCAUCGGAGUGAGGAGGGCGCAAAUUGUAAAUGAUACAUGUGGACGCCUGAGCUUGGAAACUGGGUGCUGGGAGCAGCCAUCUGGAUUUCACAUCUGGCUUCAUCAUAGCAAGCCUAUGAGGCAAGCACUGGUUUCUCCCAGUGUGCAGCGGAAGUAGCUUCUCAAAGAGGUGAAGGGAUGUUCCCAGCCUGGCUGACUUUGCCACCCUGCUCUUUCCACCUGCCCUUUCUUGUGGCCGGCGGACACAGUGACCUCAGAUUCAUUCUGUAGCCCCUCAGCCCCUCUGCUUCCCGUCCCCCGCUCAUGCCUUCUAAGCAUCUUCUCUCCCGUCUGCAGCCCAAGGCUGCCCCUGGGAGCAGGCAGAGGCUUGCGCUGUCUUUUGUCCUGGCGUCUUCAUUUCAGCCGGGGAACUUUGGGUGGAGCUGGAGCCAAGUGGCAAGCGGAGCUCAGGCUUGCUGGGCCCCGGCCUCCCCACCGCAUCCCCCGGCUUUUGGACACAGACCUUUCUCUGGGUGGUCUGGAGACCAGGUUGAAACGUGUUGAUGUUUAGCAGUUCGGUUCUGCUAAACGUUGACAGGAUUAUCAUGCUCUUUAAAGCGGUCAGCCUGUCCCAGGAAGCUGUGCUCCCGACGGAGAAGCUGUUUGUGUGUGGUUUCUGUUCCGAAGGCCUCAGCAGUUUUAAGUUUCCUAAGCAAGUGAGUAGUGGCAUCGUCCGGGUCUGAUUCACUGGGACGUUUCUGUCCUGGAGGAGAAGGUCAAGUCUCGUUGCCGCCUCAGAAACUCCACCCUCUGCCCGUCUUGGUUCUGUGGCACUGGCGGCAUCUGGAACCAGCACACACCUGGCCGGGGAGUGUCCGCCAACGGCAGCCCCCUCAUUGAACUGCCUUUGAAAACUAAAGUUGGGGAAGAUGUACUGUGCCUGCUUCUGAAUAUCAUGUGUGUGAUUCUACCUCGGGAGUGUGCUCUAAGGGACGUGUGGCCAUUCAUCUUGUCUGCAGAAGAAACCUCCCGCCUUCGUCCCUCCUGACUCAGCUCCCGGGGCCCCCACGCCGCCCCCCUGGAGAGAGCGAGUGAGCAAAACUGGGUGCCCCCCAGCCCCACUGGAGACAGUGAGCUUGCAAAACCUUCCCAGAGGAAGAGCCCUACUUUGGGAACUCACAAAAUGGCAUUUCUUGGCAAGUUUGUGAGUUUGCUCACGGCCACCUUCCUUGGACCCACAGGUCGGAGCAGUGGACUGACUUUUCUCAUGUCCACACACAUGUGAAACGUUUGUGUAUCUUAGGCUCCCACUUAAGAAAUGGGCUGCUGGCUGCAGGAAGCAGGAGGUCCGGGAAGCUCAUUUGCUCCCUUGUCUGAAGGCAUCAUCUUGCUCCUUCCUCUGCGUACCUCGUACCUCGUGGGAGCAGGAGCAGGUGUCUCCUCCCCAGGCCCUGGGGCUCGUGGGGAAGACAGAAGAAUGAUCCGUGAGAAAGGGAUUUGAAAGGGCUGAGAGCGUCCGUCAGAGCGGACACGGAAAAGCUCACCCUGCCGACUUGGAAUUUAUAAUAGCAUUUGGGGCGGUAGGCGCUACGUAGUCACAUUCCUCAUCUACCAGAAGCUGCGGAAAGUUUCGAGAUGAUUUGACUAUGUGGGAUAUGAUGAGGUUUCUCUUCAAAUAAUCUGAUCAAUCUUUUAUUCUUUAAUUCAUUGUACCCCUCCACCCCCACCAUUUUUCUCCUUUUUUCUCCUUUUCCCUUCUCGCCUUUGUUAAGUGCCCAGCAUGCCACAGUACCAAGCGUUAUCAGUACCAGCUCACAUUCCUUUCCUUAUUUAAAGAAAGACUAACUUUCUGGCUCAUUACAGACACCCCUUCCCCUUUCCCUCCACUUUUCUUUAACGUACCCACCCUAUCUAAAAAAAAAUCAAAUGUUUAUCCAACUGGGAUUAGUUUAUAUUAUAAGACCCGACUCCGGCCAAUAAAAAAAGGGUACAGGGGCAGGACUUGUGUCAGGAAUGAAGGCUUUUGUGCCCCUUUGUUCAGGUGUGCUCUCAUGGCGACUGGCCAAAGGGGCACCCCUCUGUGCAAAAAUAAAACUGCUUUGCUAAAA